GACGAACGCUGGCGGCGUGCUUAACACAUGCAAGUCGAACGGAAAGGCCCUGCCUUUGUGGGGUGCUCGAGUGGCGAACGGGUGAGUAACACGUGAGUAACCUGCCCUUGACUUGGGGAUAACUUCAGGAAACUGGGGCUAAUACCGGAUAGGAGCUCCUGCUGCAUGGUGGGGGUUGGAAAGUUUCGGCGGUUGGGGAUGGACUCGCGGCUUAUCAGCUUGUUGGUGGGGUAGUGGCUUACCAAGGCUUUGACGGGUAGCCGGCCUGAGAGGGUGACCGGCCACAUUGGGACUGAGAUACGGCCCAGACUCCUACGGGAGGCAGCAGUGGGGAAUAUUGCACAAUGGGCGGAAGCCUGAUGCAGCAACGCCGCGUGCGGGAUGACGGCCUUCGGGUUGUAAACCGCUUUCGCCUGUGACGAAGCGUGAGUGACGGUAAUGGGUAAAGAAGCACCGGCUAACUACGUG
rnacentral:rRNA from 1 species